rnacentral:tRNA from 1 species
GCCGCUGUAGCUCAGUCGGUAGAGCAAAGGACUGAAAAUCCUUGUGGCAAGGGUUCAAUUCCCUUUGGCGGCA